rnacentral:tRNA from 1 species
CAUUAAGAAGCUAUGUACCAGCGCUAGCCUUUUAAGCUAGUCAAAGAGGGCAAAGCCCCUCCUUAAUGA